UAGGUCUUAUAAAGUUCUGGAUAAAGCUUAUUAUGAAAACUUUAUAUCCAUAGGUCUCGACCAAAUCUUGUGCCAGCAGUCGCGGUAAGACAAGGGAGACGAGUGUUAUUCAUCUUUAACAGGUAUAUAGGGUACCUAGACGGUGUGCAAUGGCUUAAAUAAGUACCUGGUACACUUGAGUUUGAUAUGUGAGAGGAAUAUGUCGGAAUUGUUGGAGGAAAGAUGAAAUUUGUUAAUACCAAUAGGACUGAUAACGGCGAAGGCAAACCUCUAUGUACAUGUACUUGCUAUUUCUGUUUUUAUUAUAGCAAAAUAGCAAUGUACUAUAACUGACGUUGAGGGACGAAGGCUCAGAGAGUGAAGAGGAUUAGAUACCCCCGUAACCUGGGCAGACAAUGAUGAGUGCCAUAGGUUGGCUUUAAGGCGGAACUAUAAAUGAAAGUGGAAGCACUCCACCUCAAGAGUAAUGUGGCAACGCAGGAACUG
rnacentral:rRNA from 1 species